UACGGAGGGUGCGAGCGUUGUCCGGAAUCACUGGGCGUAAAGGGCGCGUAGGCGGUCUGUCGCGUCGGCUGUGAAAACCCGGGGCUCAACUCCGGGCCUGCAGUCGAUACGGGCAGACUAGAGUGUGGUAGGGGAGACUGGAAUUCCUGGUGUAGCGGUGAAAUGCGCAGAUAUCAGGAGGAACACCGGUGGCGAAGGCGGGUCUCUGGGCCAUAACUGACGCUGAGGAGCGAAAGCGUGGGGAGCAAACAGG
rnacentral:rRNA from 1 species